rnacentral:lncRNA from 1 species
CAGAUAAACAGCAAGGGAUAACAGAAGUGUAGGAUUGAUUGUGAGCUUCUCCCCCCAAACUCAGAAAAACUGCCAGGAAAAGUUUGCUGACCUGUACUUUAAUAUAUAAAAACCCAUUCACAUUUGCACAUUCAUUUGGUGGUCACCACAGGCCUAUGGUAACAUCUCCGUUUUCAGAAGCUCAGAAAAGUAAGCUGCUUGCUCAAGAAUGGACGGCUUCAAGGUGGCAGAGCUGGAAGUUUCUAACUCACUCACCUCAUACUCAGACCUGCACUGUUUUUCAAGACAGUCAAUAUUUCAGGCCAUCUACUGAUUGGAUGAGGCCCACCAGCAUUCUGAAAGACAAGGAAUCUGAGACCUGGCUGGGAGAAGAGGACUUGCCUAAAGUUAUCCCACACAGCAAAUUAGUUGGAAAACCAGGAUAGUUGAGUAAAUAUCCUGGAGCCCAGCCAAGUAAUGAAGCCAGAAUUCAGAAAGCUGUUUUGGCUAGAUCUUGGAUUUUUACAAUAAAGGGUCUGUAAGGGAUAUUUGUGAAAAAUGUUGACACUUGACGGCUGUCCUGAUUCAUUCAGCUACCUAGGUUAUCUCUGCCUCUCUUUGACUUGUGUUUUGUCUUUUAAGAUGGCAGUCUUGCUCUUUUGCCUGGGCUGGUCUUGAACUCCUGGGCUCAAGCAGUUUUCCUGCUUUAGCCUCCUGAGUAGCUGGGGCUACAGGAGGACAUCACUGUGCCCAGCUCUCUCCGUAUCUUUGACUAGGUUAUUUUACAACCCCAUACGAUAGAAAUGAAGUUAUAGAAAACUGAUAGGAAUACAAAUAAUUAUUAUCCAUGGAAAUGCAAAUUGGAUCUAAUGGAAUGAAACUGAUUUUUUUUCCAGCAGAUAGUGACCACCUUUGUAUCCUUUUGUAAAUUCAUUUCAGCAUUCCAUAUUUGACUAAAAAUGUGUGACACUCCCAAUUUGCUUUUGAAUUCAUUGUAAUAUCUACCAAUUCCCUCAUUAAUUAAUGAGUUAAAUAAAGCCUUUGGCAUGUAUUUAUUUUGUAUCUAUAGGAGAGUCAUGAGUAUAUCUUCUUUUAAAAGGUAUUCUUCAGUAGGUCUUAGGGUGCACAAUACUUACAUCUUAUUUUCUCAUUCUACACUGUUCCCACACCUCACCCAGAAUAAAUGUAAUCUCCUGUGAGCUUCUGAACAUCAUGAAGAAUAACAGCUCAUUUUGUAAAGUCAUUUAGUAUUCG